rnacentral:tRNA from 1 species
GGAUCCUUAGCUCAACUGGUUAGAGCACCCGGCUCAUAACCGGGCGGUUGGAGGUUCAAGUCCUUCAGGAUCCACCA